rnacentral:snRNA from 1 species
AUACUUAUCUGGCGUAGGGUCUACUGUUAUUAUUAAGGCAGUUUCACUUAGGCGGGGCUAUUCCUCUGCACUUCGGUUGGGCUGACCCUUGCAAAUAUCCUAAAUGUGAAUCCCUAAAUCGUGCGCACAAUUUUUGAUUCUC